AUUGAACGCUGGCGGCAUGCCUUACACAUGCAAGUCGAACGGUAACAGGUUAAGCUGACGAGUGGCGAACGGGUGAGUAAUAUAUCGGAACGUGCCCAGUCGUGGGGGAUAACGUAGCGAAAGCAACGCUAAUACCGCAUACGAUCUACGGAUGAAAGCGGGGGAUCGCAAGACCUCGCGCGAUUGGAGCGGCGGAUAUCAGAUUAGGUUGGUGGUGAGGUAAAAGCUCACGAAGCCUGCGAUCUGUAGCUGGUCUGAGAGGACGACGAGCCACACUGGAACUGAGACACGGUCCAGACUCCUACGGGAGGCAGCAGUGGGGAAUUUUGGACGAUGGACGCAAGUCUGAUCCAGCAAUGCCGCGUGCAGGACGAAGGCCUUCGGGUUGUAAACUGCUUUUGUACGGAACGAAACGGUGAGCUCUAAUACGGUUUGCUAAUGACGGUACCGUAAGAAUAAGCACCGGCUAACUACGUGCCAGCCGCCGCAGUAA
rnacentral:rRNA from 1 species